rnacentral:lncRNA from 1 species
AUACACCAAAGAGUAAAUCAAAUUUUCAUCCAUGUUUAUAACUCUCUUUAACAGUCAUGUACUUAAAAACCAAAUCCUCAUCAUUGUGUUGGAAGGUACCCUAAGACACAAAUAAACACACAAAAACAACUCUUUUUGGGUUUUUCAAAACAAUUUUUUUUUCUUUCAAAUUUUUAUGAGAUUUUCGGAUUUUUAUGUCAAAACACACUAAAACACUCCAAAAUAGCUUAAAAAAACACUUAAAACAGCAAGGAACAACACUAGAAGUAAUGGGUGAUAAACUCCUACGAAUUUCAUGCAAAACAAUGGUUACCCCCCCACACUUAAAUCAAACAUUGUCCUCAAUGUUUCAAGCAUAAACUCACACAAAAAACAAACAGACAAACAAACAACGAAUAAACAUGACGAGUAUGGCAAAGCAAAAACCAGACAGAGUAGAGUUUAAGAACGCAAAUACGGUUUUGGAGAUAGAUGAUCUUGUUGUCUUUCCACAGCUUUGAUCUCGAACUGGU